CCCCGCUUCCGGGCGGCCCCUGGCGGCGAAGGGGACGCUGCAACGCGGAGCGGGAGCACGAGGAGGGAAGGGGCUUGGCAAUGGGCCCCAAAGAGGCCGAGACCCCGGGAGUGCCGGCAGCGCUCUUUAUCACGCCUGGAGGCUCCUGCAGAGCCCCGGAACCGCCCGAACCUCCAGAAAUGCAGGCAGGGUGCACUCCCCAGGGGGUACAACUUUGGCAAUGAGGACUACAGAGGUCCGGGGAGAACCGGAGACCCGAGGAGCAUGAAGGCACUCUGUGACAUCACUGCCUACAAACGCAGGGGCCGGAAUGCAGUGACAGGACACUGCUGGGAGGAAAGUCUCCCAGCGCCUCCGUGUGGGGCUGCCUCCACUCCCAAUACCGUGCGGGGGGACUAGGACGACCCUGGUAAGUCAGCCACAGGAUAUCAGUUCUCAGAAUAGAAGAGAAGCCAGGUCUGGCAGCACCUGAUGAUGCAUUUCCAAUUAAUCUUGGAAUGAGAGCCGAGGGCAAGAAGCCAGCGGUGCCUGAGGGAUGCUAAAGAGCCAACCGAUCCAGGGAAACAAAUGCCAGCGAGGGACCCCACAGCAAAGAGACAGACACUGUGAGCAACUCUCCUGUUACCAUGAGGCUUGCGAGGCGUGUGUGCGGGUCUCCGCAUUGGCACCAUCUGCCAAUUCCUCAGGAGGACAGAACAAACCAGUGAGGCAUGAAGAUUAGAUUAUGUAACGCUCGAGGAUUGCUGUUUUCAAAGAGGAAACAAAUGGAAUGAAUUGAUUUGCUUGUCAAAGUCAUGUCACUAAAGGAGAUCUAUUCCCUCCCCUUCUAAGAGGACCUCAUUAAAGAGUGGAAUGAUUUCACAGAUUCAGAAAAUGUGAGACCACAAUCCACUCCAUUCAUAAGAGCAAGUCCACUUUCCAGAGUCACACUCACACAUUCUAUUCUGGUCCCCGGGCCUGAAAAAAUGUCCAUCCAGCUACAACCUAAAGGGUACUGACCUGGUGAGGAACAUAAUUGUCAGCUGCUAGCCAUAAGAUUCAGAGCCGGAGGCCAGGCGUCAUGGCUUAUGCUGGUAAUCCCAGCACUUUGGGAGGCCGAGGUGGGUGGAUCAUGUGAGGUCGGAAGUUCAAGACAGCCUGGCCAACACGGUGAAACCUCGUCUCUACUAAAAAUACAAAAAUUACCUGGGCGUGGUGGCACACACCUGUAACCCCAGCUACUUGGGAGGCCAACGCCUGAGAAUCACUUGAGCCCAAGAGGCAGAGGUUGCAGUGAGCCAAGAUCACACCACCGCACUCCAGCCUGGGGGACAGAGUGAGACGCUGUCUCAAAAAAAUAAAAAUAAAAAAUCAGAACCUGUGAGUUUUGCCUGAACUUUCUUGCUUCUGGGGAAGCAGUGUCUCGUUCUGAGACCAGUGGGAUUGUAUUCACUAUUCAGAGCUCUAAACAAGUGCUCUUGAUAGAGGAGGGGUGUGUUCUUAAAAAUAUAGCAUCAGAAAAAAAAAAUAUAUAUAUAUAUGCAUCAGGAAGGAAAAUGCAUUGAUUUCUCAGAGUGCUUUGCCAUUGCUGGGCUUCUCUCAAAUGCCCAGCACAAUACUUUUUCUAGUAUCCUCAGGAGAUCUGAGGAAUGAACAAAUGAGAACCCUGAACCUGCUGCCAUAGUUCCAUCCCUUAAGGUUUCACAGCCUCCCUAAGAUACCAGGAUUUAAAUAUCAAGUCUUUAUCCAGGAUGCAAAUGAAGUCUCCUGUACCAGAUAGUUUCCAUUUGCCCUCCAGAUCCACUCUUCCACCCUUCUCCGUGCUGCCCUUGGCCCUGGCGGGCUGACCUACAUGGACUGCAGCAGCUCACUCUCCUGCCCUCUAGCUUCCAGGCGGGUACAGCCAAUGGGAGCGGCAGCAGGAGAUGGGAGGGCAGGAGGACAGCAUGGGUGAAGUGUUUCUUUCCCCACUUCCCUCCUGCCAGAUGGCCUUAGGUUGGUUGUGCCUUUUGAUAAAAGGUCACCCCUCUUUCUCAAGGCAGCCUGCUCUACACAACUCUCUCUGGGUUCUGUCAUUUCUCCCUCCCCUCAACCUUCAGAUCUAAGAGUGGUAAAGGCCCCAUGGCUACUGCACUAUCCCUUAUAGCUUCCCCACUUUCUGCUUCAACCUUGUAAAUAGCCCAUUUAUUAAAUAUUCUUCUAAUGAUCUAAUUUGAAUGCGCCAUCUGUUUCUUAUACAGACCCUGCCUGACAUACCUUUCACACGUGACAGUCUAUUCUAGGCCCUACACCACGUUAAAAAGAAAAAGUAGGGCUGGGUGCAGUGGCUCAUGUCUGUAAUCCCAGCACUUUGGGAAGCCGAGGCAGGCGGAUCACGAGGUCAGGAACUCGAGACCAGCCUGGCCAACAUGGCGAAACCCCGUCUCUACUAAAAAUACAAACAUUAGCUGGGCAUGGUAGCGGGUGUCUGUAAUCCCAGCUACUCGGGAGGCUGAGGCAAGAGAACUGUUUGAACCCAGGAGGCGGAGGUUGCAGUGAGCCAAGAUUGCGCCAUUGUACUCCAGCUUGGGCAACAGGGGAGUCUCUGUCUCAAAAAAAAAAAAAGAAAAAGAAAAGUAGCAAAAUUAACAAUACAAUAUGCUACCACUUCAUGUAGUUAUUCUCAAUGUUCACCUUUUCCCAAGGCUAUAAUAACAACUUAAAGAUAAAACUUAAUUCCCCUUUACAACAUAAUUGUGCAGUAGAGUUUGUAUGAGCUACAUAUAAUUCAGAGAACAAGCAUUCUCAUGCCAUCAAAAUUCAUGUUAACAACUAUAAAGAGAAAACCCUAGAAUUGAGGCCCCUGACUUUCAAUGUAGCAGAAAAUAUAUUUCAGUAUUUAAAUCUAUCUAACAGAUAUUUGAAAGUCUACUAUAUGUCCAGCAAGGUGGUGAUCUUACAGUGGGGGAAAAACAUGGACGUGGCCCCUGCCUUUUUGAAACUUAGUCUUGUUUUCUAAAAUAAAUAUGCUUCUAGGCCGAGCUCAGUGGCUCACACCUAUAAUCCUAGCACUUUGGGGGUGCUGAGGUGGGAGGA
rnacentral:lncRNA from 1 species